rnacentral:lncRNA from 1 species
GCAAAAGUGCGCAGGAAAGCUUUUGCUGUGCUUGUAGGCAGGUAGGCCCCAAGCACUUCUUAUUGGCUAAUGUGGAGGGAACCUGCACAUCCAUUGGCUGAAAGCUUCGUCUAUUUGAGGCUGACUGAAAGCGUUCCUUUCUUCUGUGUUGCCUGGAAACGGACUGUCUGCCUAGUAACAUCUGAUCGCGUUUCCCAUUGGCCGCCGUUUCCGGAAGCCCGCCCUCCCAUUUCCGGAAGCCUGGCUUAAGGUUGGUCUGCAGGUGGCCUCCAGGUGCAAAGUGGGAAGUGUGAGUCCUCAGUCUUGGGCUAUUCGGCCACGUGCCUGCCGGACAUGGGACGCUGGAGGGUCAGCAGCGUGGAGUCCUGGCCUUUUGCGUCCACGGGUGGGAAAUUGGCCAUUGCCACGGCGGGAACUGGGACUCAGGCUGCCUCCCGGCCGUUUCUCAUCAGUCCACUGGACUCGUGGGCGCUCGCACUGGCGCUGAUGUAGUUUCCUGACCUCUGACCCGUAUUGUCUCCAGAUUAAAGGUACGACAUUUGGAGGCCCCAGCGAGAAACGCCACCGGGCGAGAGCCGGGCCCGCUGUGUGCUCCCCCGGAAGGACAGCCAGCUUGUAGGGGGGAGCGCCACCUGAAAAAAAAUUUCCAGGUCCCCAAAGGGUGACCGUCUUCCGGAGGACAGCGGAUCGACUACCAUGUGGGUGCCCACAAAAAUUCCACCUCUGAGUCCUCAACUGCUGACCCCGGGGUCAGGAAAGGUGGAUGCCACCGUGUUCACAGACAGUAGCAGCUUCCUCGAGAAGGGACUACGAAAGGCCGGUGCAGCUGUUACCACGGAGACAGAUGUGUUGUGGGCUUAGGCUUUACCAGCAAACACCUCAGCACAAAAGCCUGAAUUGAUCACCCUCACUCAGGCUCUCCGAUGGGGUAAGGAUAUUAACGUUAACACUGACAGCAGGUAUGCCUUUGCUACUGUGCAUGUACGUGGAGCCAUCUACCAGGAGCGUGGGCUACUCACCUCAGCAGGUGGCUGUAAUCCACUGUAAAGGACAUCAAAAGGAAAACACGGCCGUUGCCCGUGGUAACCAGAAAGCUGAUUCAGCAGCUCAAGAUGCAGUGUGACUUUCAGUCACGCCUCAAAACUUGCUGCCCACAGUCUCCUUUCCACAGCCAGAUCUGCCUGACAAUCCCGCAUACUCAACAGAAGAAGAAAACUGGCCUCAGAUCUCAGAGCCAAUAAAAAUCAGGAAGGUUGGUGGAUUCUUCCUGACUCUAGAAUCUUCAUACCCCGAACUCUUGGGAAAACUUUAAUCAGUCACCUACAGUCUACCACCCAUUUAGGAGGAGCAAAGCUACCUCAGCUCCUCCGGAGCUGUUUUAAGAUCCCCCAUCUUCAAAGCCUAACAGAUCAAGCAGCUCUCCGGUGCACAACCUGCGCCCAGGUAAAUGCCAAAAAAGGUCCUAAACCCAGCCCAGGCCACCGUCUCCGAGAAAACUCACCAGGAGAAAAGUGGGAAAUUGACUUUACAGAAGUAAAAGCACACCGGGCUGGGUACAAAUACCUUCUAGUACUGGUAGACACCUUCUCUGGAUGGACUGAAGCAUUUGCUACCAAAAACGAAACUGUCAAUAUGGUAGUUAAGUUUUUACUCAAUGAAAUCAUCCCUCGACAUGGGCUGCCUGUUGCCAUAGGGUCUGAUAAUGGACUGGGCUUCACCUCGUCUAUAGUUUAGUCAGUCAGUAAGGCGUUAAACAUUCAAUGGAAGCUCCAUUGUUCCUAUCGACCCCAGAGCUCUGGGCAGGUAGAACGCAUGAACCGCACCCAAAAAACACUCUUACAAAAUUAAUCUUAGAAACUGGUGUAAAUUGUGUAAGUCUCCUUCCUUUAGCCCUACUUAGAGUAAGGUGCACCCCUUACUGGGCUGGGUUCUCACCUUUUGAAAUCAUGUAUGGGAGGGCGCCGCCUAUCUUGCCUAAGCUAAGAGAUGCCCAAUUGGCAAAAAUAUCACAAACUAAUUUAUUACAGUACCUACAGUCUCCCCAACAGGUACAAGAUAUCAUCCUGCCACUUGUUCGAGGAACCCAUCCGAAUCCAAUUCCUGACCAGACAGGGUCCUGCCAUUCGUUCCAGCCAGGAGACCUAGUGUUUGUUAAAAAGUUCAGAGAGAAGGACUCCCUCCUGCUUGGAAGAGACCUCACACCGUCAUCACGAUGCCAACGGCUCUGAAGGUGGAUGGCAUUCCUGCUUGGAUUCAUCACUCCCGCAUCAAAAAGGCCAACAGAGCCCAACUGGAAACAUGGGUCCCCAGGGCUGGGUCAGGCCCCUUAAAACUGCACCUAAGUUGGGUGAAGCCAUUAGAUUAAUUAUUUUUCUUAAUUUUGUAAAACAAUGCAUAGCUUCUGUCAAACUUAUGUAUCUUAAGACUCAAUAUAACCCCCUUGUUAUAACCGAGGAAUCAAUGAUUUGAUUCCCCAAAAACACAAGUGGGGAAUGUAGUGUCCAACCUGGUUUUUACUAACCCUGUUUUUAGACUCUCCCUUUUCCUUUAAUCACCUAGCCUUGUUUCCACCUGAAUUGACUCUCCCUUAGCUAAGAGUGCCAGAUGGACUCCAUCUUGGCUCUUUCACUGGCAGCCCCUUCCUCAAGGACUUAACUUGUGCAAGCUGACUCCCAGCACAUCCAAGAAUGCAAUUAACUGAUAAGAUACUGUGGCAAGCUAUAUCCGCAAUUCCCAGGAAUUCGUCUGAUUGAUAACGCCCAAAGCCCCCGGUCUAUCACCUUGUAAUAGUCUUAAAGCCCCUGCACCUGGAACUAUUAACUUUCCUGUAACCAUUUAUCCUUUUAACUUUUUUGCUUACUUUAUUUCUGUAAAAUUGUUUUAACUAGACCCCCCCUCUCCUUUCUAAACCAAAGUAUAAAAGCAAAUCUAGCCCCUUCUUCAGGGCUGAGAGCAUUUUGAGCAUUAGCCGUCUCUUGGCCACCGGCUAAAUAAAC